UUUAUGUGAGCAUGCAUCCAUGUGUGUGUGCAUGGAUCUUAUUCAGCACCUAUCUUGUACUUGCAACUGCAAAAGGAGAAGUCACACACAAGUGCAGUUCUGAAGGAGCUAAGACUUCAGCGGAUUGGAUGGGGGCAGAGCAGACCCAUCCUCCCUCUCUUGGAUAAUGUACUCUGGCUCCACACAAAGGAAAAGAUGGUGUGAGAAACACUGGGGUAAAGCACAAGAAACUGCCCAGGGGAGGAGACACAAACCACACUAAGAAGAGGAAGAGGCUCAGAGCAAGGCUGGAAAACUUGAGCUUCAAGCAGCUUGAAAAUCUCGGGAAUCCAAAAGAAAAACAGAAGCUCCCCUGUUCUCCUCCUUACAACACUAAUGUGUCUGCAUUGCCACUGUCCUCCUCAGUCUUUGGAACUGCUGAGGAAAGAGGAGGCGCAUGAGCAGAAGGCUGCUUCCUGUAGGCUUCUUCCUGAGUCUGGGUGGGUGUGGUUUACUGUCCUGUAGGGCCUCGUGGGCUUCUCACUCUCCUUGUUUCUGAUUGCUCCCAUAUAUUCUUAGACAAGAGGAAUUUGUAGGACACAAUGUAUAAAAUCCACCCCCACAGGUAGAUUUGAGAACUGUCACACAGUGUGUAGAGCAUGUCCACAUGUGUAAACCUUUGGUCCCCAAAAUGAGCUUUCGCAAAUGAUCCACGUUGUCUGGAGCAGAGAUGAUCCCUGAGUUGGUCUCCAUGGUGAUAAUGCACACAGAGUCUCCCAGGAGACUGUUGCUUGUGUGACGAAAUUAGAAUUUCCUUACUACUAAGAAGGAAAAUUUUUCCUUUUCACACUAAGCCAUAAUCCAAAUGCUUGAGUUCAGUUUUAUUUCUAUCCAUUCUUUAUUCCGGUGACAUAAAAAGACAAAAUAUUCUUUAAAAAAUGACGUGGGAGGUCUCAUAGAAAAAAAAAAGAACUAAAUCUUGACUUACAUUAAAAUUAUCUAAAAGAGAAAAUGCUAUUUCCAAGGUGAGGAUCUGGUCCUCAUUUGUUAAGUGUUCUGGGGCAGUUUGGUUCAGUGGAUUGCUUCCUGAGCGAUGCUGGAUUGAUUGGCUUCAUUUACUCUCCCGUCAUUUCUGACAUGCAGCUUUCGUUGGUGUUGGGUUGAAGAACACACAGAGCCCUGAGCACUGCACAGGUUUCUUUCUGGCACUGAUGGGUUCAUGAACUCACCCACCACAGUCAUUGUUGAUGACCACCCAGGUUCUUGGACAAAGGAAGUACAACCUCGCAGCUCAAACAAAGUGACCAGCCAACCUCAGGCUGCAGCGGGAGGCUGGAAGAGUCCCAAGGCUCGGUAGUGGGCCAAGGGCUUGGUAUUUCUGAUCAAGAGUACUCCUUGAUUUUCACCCAAAGAGAAACUGGCUCACAUGCUCUCACACAAGAUGUCUUCUUGUUGUUCCUCCUCGAUGCAAAUUCACCCUGUGAUACUAGGAAGAUGGGGAGGGAACUAGGCUUGUGACAAAGGAUAGAUAGUAGCCUGGGAAAGAAAGCUCUGUUGUUCAACAUACUCUUCGAUGUGCCUAGGAAUACCCUCUGAGGUCCAGUGCUUCUUCAAAGGCAUGGAGUAAUUGACCUCUACCUUCCAAGAGGUCAGAUUCCAGUAAAUGGCCACAACUACAGAAUGGUGGCUACACAGAGGUAUGCGCUGAGCAUUUCUGGGAUUCAGAGGAGGGGUAGAUUUUGUCUAGAGGAAGUCUGAGGAGGAGGCAUGGUUGAUGAAAGAAAAGGAUGAAGGAAGACCUCAAGUAAAGGAGUCAGAUUUGAACUUCUGUCAAAGAACAAUUUUAUCCAAGUCCAGAAAGCGGUUACUGGAAUAUAGUUUGGUUAAACAAUGACCCACAAUCCCAUAAUGCUGGACAUGACAUGUUCAUCAUCCCGGCCUCUGAAACCCAUGUUGGACACUGUCACUCUUUGAUUUCCAUCUUUUGGAUCAGAACAUUCGUCCUUCAAGAGAAGGCUUCCAUGCCCGUCAUCUUUGGCUGCAAACUACAGCAUAUUUUAUGUACUGAAUAAAGCAAAUAUUUCCUUUCUGUGAUGGGAAGGGGCAGGGAAAUAUCUGUUAAGGGGACCACAGUUGCAGCUGUGCCACACAGUCACCUCUCUGGGACGUGGGCGAAUGGAGCAAAUACAGGAGGCAGACUAAAGUCUCGUGCAAUAGUCAACCGUAUCCAGGGCAUCAGGCAACUUACACUCUGAAGGGUAAAGUGGAAGCCUCAUGAGGCAAAACCAUGUGUUUCCACGGAGGCAGGUAGAGAAACAACAAUAGCCAGCUGUAACGAAUGAUUGGGAGUAAAUUCUCUCCUCUCUGCUCUUCCUGGGAGGGGCACAAAAGUGAACGGCAAGAACAAUUCUGUGGUUUUGAAGACACUGAGGUUAUAAGACUUGUCUUGAUUUCUCGGCGUUUUCUCACAAGCACUCAGAUAUCUCCUCACGGGACUCCAUUCUUGGAGCAUGUGCCUACAGACAUGAGCACAGUGUUCUGGAGGCUCAACGUACCAGAGCAUGAUGAUGGCUAAACUUGACCUCUGCUGCAAGGCAGGUCUGUCUCUUCAUCAAAAAGGAAAAGAAGAAAGUGGCAGCUAUGAGCGGUGUCAUAUGAUAAUUCGUUAUUUAAAGAGAUUGCUUACCACACAUACGUGUAGCAAAUCAUCGCAUUUUAACAUUAAAUUUAUGCAAUUUAAUUGCCAGCUACAUUUAGUAAAAGUAACAUUAUAUAAAAACUGAAAAUGGAUUCUUCGCAUGCGAACAUGUUUUCUUGAUUUGGUAUUUAAUAUUUUUCUGCUGCCUUGCACCAGAGAAGAUUUGAACAGAAAGCUUGCGUUGAACAGUUGUGUCAUUUGCCCUAAAGUUCCUUUUGCAAUGUCACAAACGUGUUUGCCUCCGUUGUUUGCUUUGCACCUACUCAACUAAUGUUAAACUGGUUUGGUAAUUAGUUCCUUUGUGCUUCUAUCAACAUUUCUCUUCUAUCAGCAGUUUUCUAACAAAGGACCUUGGUUGAUAGAGGGGAUAUCUACGUAAGGUCUUCUGUUGUACACAUAAGUGUCUUAGUGUGUAAUGUGUUUUCAUUGGAAAUAAUUAGAAUAUGAAUCUUGAAAUUCUCUAAACACAAAAUAUUGUUCACAUACUCUGGUUUGCUCAAUCUUUAGAAGGUUCUAUCUGUAUCCAUGUAAGUUCUGGAGCUCUGAUGCACACCAUAGUAUCUACAAUUGGUUGAGGACAGACCCCUGUUGAGUCCUCAUGCCACACAAACAUACAGCACAUGAAAAGAAGCGCAGGGACCUGGUAUUGUGCUACCUACCUGCAACACCCGAGAUGCCAAAAGAUAUCAAGUUUAAGACCAACCUGAGCAACUUACUGAGACUCUGUCCUAAACUAGGAAUGAGUAAAGAGCUUGGGAUGUAUAUCAGCAGUACAGAGUUGGCCAGCCUAUGUAAUGUCUUACGUUCAGUCCCCAGUUUGGGAAACAUUUAGAUGGUAGUUACAUGUCAUGUGUUCACUAUAGUGAUGAUACUACAGGCAUAAACAUACGUUUGAAAUCAUUAAAUUGUAUAUAUCAAACAAUGCAACUGUUGAGUAUUAAUUGUAUCUCAAUAAAUAAUGUGCCUAAAUAAGUAAGUAAAUAUUUAAAAUGAAAGCAUAAAAAUGGAGUAACGAGGGACUAGAAAGAUGGCUGAGCAGUUGAAAACGCUUGCUGCUCAUCCAAACUCCUCCAAUUCAGUUCUCAGCACUCACAUCAGGUGGUUCACUACGACCUAUAACUCCAAAUCCAAAGAAUCUAGUGUUAUCUUCUCGCCUUUGUGGACACCCUCAUGGACACACACACACACACACACACACACACAUACAUGAAAACAACUGAAAUAAUAUAAUGACUAAGUGAUUGUUGAUGCCAUUCCAAUGUUGAUGCGAUUCAUUAAAAAUAAAAUUUAGCUUCUGAUUUUGAAUUGAUCACUAAUUUCUUCACAUCAGGAAAGGGCUUUAGAAUUUAAAAAAAUUCACCAUUUACUGUGACUACUGAAAACAUGGAGUUGCUGUGACCUUAGGUGUGACUAGGAGUUUUCCCAUUGUCUUUUCAGAGUUCAAUAGGAAAUUGGGGAAAGGGGUAUGGAUCUGCUGGGCUCUUUUUGUGAGAUACUUUUUUCUAUCUUUUGAAAAUUGUUUCCUUUCCUUCUGUUUUACUUCAAGUGUUGAGUCUUUUUUAGUGUUUAUGUAUGGACUGAUGUGCUUGCUAGGAGACUGAGUAAUUCAGCUAACUAAUUCUCACCGUGAGUAAAUGAUCCGUGAAGUUGACAAGCAGCCCUGGCUUAGACAGCAAUGUCUUUCUUCUACUCUUUAGUCUUCUUUCAUUACGAUUGGCAUGUAGCUGCGAAGUUCAUAGAUUCCUCCUCAAUGGGUUCACUUGUGUGUCUGGACUUGUGUGUGGACCACAUCCAGGAAUCAAGACUUUCAAAUUGGAAUGAAUCCCAGAUGGUGGGCACUGAGCUAUUUACACUGUUGAUUUUGGUUUGGCUGUGAUCCGAUUGUAAUUGUGCCCUGGUUAUUACUGCUUGGAAUUAGAAUUCUAAUUGCCACCUGCUUUCUGCAAAGGACCAGGAUUUUCGAAUUAUUAGGUGGAUGGAUGGGUACCUGAAUGAGGCAGACAUGACUCCUAGUCUCCCAUUAGUGUAUCUGUUUGGAACCUAGAUGUCUUGUUUCUGCAUCUGGCUGUUCCCUAGUUCUGUGAACUUGGAUGAGUUAGCCUGGGGCAAAUCAGCUGCUCAAGUGAAUUGGGUAAGUUUCCUUUUAGAGCCUAUUUGGAGUCCAGAAAGGAGGAUACUGGGAUAUAGCAGGGCACUGAGCCAAGGGUAAGGUGUGGAGAUGUGGAGAUGCGACUACUUAGUUGGGCAACCCCCUAAAUUCCAUCUCUCUCGACAUUAAAUAACAAUAGCAGGCAUUAGUCUAUCUGCCAGUAGUCAAUGUGAAUCUCUGAGAGGGGGCACUGGAAGGAGCUUACACUAAUAUAGGUACGCAGGGAAAGUGAAGGGAACUCCCUGAGAUGGUGGCGUUUUGAUCCUGGAAGACACCAUCAUGGAAGGAAUGGAAGGGGAUAUCAAAGAAUGAUUUCCAGGAGAAAGGGAGGACCUAGGAGCCCUAUAAAACACACAGGCCAGUGGCACAGACUUCUAGCCUUAGCUCUCUCCCAUAUCAAAGGCAUAAUUCGGUUGCUUUACCCUUCACCAUCUGUCCUUGUCUUUGCUAGUCACUAAGUUCUUCAUUCAUGCUGGAGAAUGUACUUGUCAAUGCCCUAGACAACCCUAAUGACAGGAAGGCUAAAGGGAAGUAGGAAAAAGGGACACAAAAGAGAAAACAAAGAAAACAAUAGUGAUAUUUCAAGAUACAAAAAUGGAGAAAACAUCCCCUUUAGUUGCAUUAGGUACACUCAGCACAAUAGUGCACAGAGUCACUUGUAAAGCCUUAUUCUGCCACACACAUGGAUUUUUAUGAGAGCUCUGCAUGAGUUACCAGACAGACAAUGGCCAGCGAGGAGUAGAUAAAGACAAUAGCAGUUGCAACGGCAUGAGGGGACUAUCAUAAUAUUCAAGACCACAAAUCCUUUUCCCAAGGUUAAUAAGGCCAAACUGAGAUGAAUGUCUAAUUUUCUAGUACAUAUUAUCCAUUUCAAAAGGGUUGGAAGCUCGUAUUAGAGAAUCUACUAGGAAAAGAAGACUUGGGUUCAAGUACGUCAAAGAGUGGUCCAGGAUGAAACAUCUGCACUCAACAGCAUGAGGGCUUCUCAAAUUCCAGGCUUCUGGGAACUAUUCAGACCCAGUGAGUCACAACCUCUGGAGAUGUGGCUCAAGGCUGUACAUCAGCUCACUCUCCAGUUGACAUAAUAGCCCAUUACAGCCUUGUCUUUAAUCCUACAAUGUAGGAGCAGCUGUUGAAGGAGUCCAGGGCACUAUGCACUGGAGAUGAGUAACAACAGCAUGGGCAGAGUAGUGAGGGCAGGCGUUUGGGUCUCCCUCCCUCACGGCUAGAUGGAAAUCAUUGUGCUGGCUCCACCUGCCGAAGCCAAUAACAUGCUUUAUUGAAUUCAAUUGCCCAGAAUCAGUUGUUUGUAGACCAUGGCCCCGAUAACAAAGUGUAUGCUCAUACUCUGUCCACGAACUUCCCAAACUCUACGUUAUUAUUUCCAGACUCUGGAUCUAUAUUGGAUGCCAGAAACCCAGAAUCACCAAAAUUCAGGGAUGUUUUGUGUUGUCAUUUGAGUAGAAUCUUUGAUGCACCUAAUUAUGGAAAUUAAUCUCGGUAAUUUCAUUCCAAGUCGCCUGUUUGUACUUACGCACACUUUUUCAAUUACAUUUGUGCUAAAUAUAGUAACUAGUUCUAAAAGACACCAUGCAGGCACUGUGAAAGAAUUGUAAGAAGGAAAUAGACAUGCAAACCUUGCAGUAAAAUGUUGUUACAUUGAAAUAAAAACCCACAGAUCAUUUUGAAGAUGUUGAACGAUACCUUGGUCUUCUCUGUGUGUGCGUAUAUGUUGGGAGGAGGCUGUUUUAACCAAACCUACCUAUUUAAUAUCAUAAGGUUUCAAAGGUUUGCUUUUUAUUUCCUUCUUGAAGCAUUCACAGGAGAUUUAAUAUCAAUUUCCAGCAUGCUUUGUGGCAGAGAAAGAAUUAGAGACCUACAAAAACUAACACAUUGCAGCAAAGUGGAUUUGCUGUAUUAUGGUUUCAAUGCGUCAGACGCAUACGCCCAAAGUUCAUGAAUAACACAAAGCGAGUAUGUUUAAGAAAAGAGUCCUCAGAAUUAAAGUAUCCAGACAGCACUGAGAAACCUCACUGUUGAUGCAGUAUACUGGGAGGGUGGAAUGGAUUGUUAGGUGCACUAACACUUUAGCCAGUAGACACAGAACAAUUGAAGUUGGUUUCAUUUACUUAAAUGACUUAGGAUGGCAGUAGACCCUGACCUCUGUUAUGUAGAUUUGCAAAGGCAGACUUGUCAUGAUGUUGAAAGUCUUUCCAGCCUGUGGACAUGAUGGAGCUUGAACACAUAUGGUAUAGGUACAGGAAUAUAAAGGAAACUGCCAUGGGAAAGGCCCUGGGGUUAUGCUGGUGUAUUGUCACCACGUUUGCCUCUCAUGUCUUGAGAAGCGCAUCCCCUGGAUUUUAGCUAAAUAUCCAGACAUCGCAGCACCCUGUUCUAAUAAGAGUUGGACACCAUGGCACAAAGUGGGGACUUAAACUGAAAUGAAACAACAAACAUCGCUUAAUUUUUAAUAGCUUUUGGGGUAAGGAUUAUUUUGGUAUUCUGUCCUCUCUUGGUAAAUUUAAAAAUAUAGGUUGACUUUUUCUUCAGAGAGAAAUACACGAACACUUUGUUAGUCUCCUAGUGUCUCUUGUGUCAUAGCAGCUGGUGUCUUUUCACAAUACAGUAUUUCUCUGCCACUCUUUUAGAGAUCUGUCUUCUUUGUCUUUCAGAAUCUUGACCCCAGUGUUUCUUUAAAUUCAUAUUUUAAUUAACUCAUUGAGAAUUUGAUGUGUCGUAUCAUGAUCCUGAUCACCUCAGUGUCUUCUAGAUCCACUCACAUUCACUAUCCACCCAAAUCAGUGCCCUCAUUUAGAGAAGAAGACCCCACCCAGUCCAGUUAGUGCUAGCUAUAUAAUCUCGGGUGUGCGGCUGUCCAAUGAACUGCAUUCCACCCACUAGGAGCACCCAAUUGAAAAACAUAACUUCCUUUUCCGGAAACUAUUCGUUGCUAAUAGUUUCUCGGUUAGGGUUGGGUCUUUGUGACCACGGCCCCCCAUGGAUGCUAAGAUUUUUGUGUGCCUGGAGCAUGUGCGAGUUAGAAUGCAUGCGGUCACACACCGCUGUGGGUUCACGAGUGCGACUCCCCUGUUAUGUUCGGAAAGCACUGUUUUCUUGUUGUGCCCCGCCACCUGGGCUUCUCAAGUCUUUCUAUUGCUCUUGUCGCCACUGAACCCUGGGAGAAGCGUUGUACUAUAGAUGUCCAGCUAGGGCAGAAUAGGCUUGCACUCUCUGCACCUUGACCAGUUGUGGGUUUCUGUGUCAGUCACCAGUUAGUGCGAAAAGAAGCCUUUCUGAUGAAGGCUGAAAGAAACACUCAUCUUCGGCUAGAGCAGUAAGUCUUUAGGAGUUGGUUUCAUAGUACAUUCUUUUAGGAGAAUAUCAGUAGCGAGCUAUUCCCUAGGACCUACCACCUCUCUAACCAAAGAUUCCUGACUCUGAUAACAGUGCGGGGUAUAGCGUGCAUCUUGUGGAGUGGGUCUUAAGUCUACUCAGAAAGCUGUUGGUUAUUCCCAUGACGUUCCUUCCACUAUUGAACCAGUGGGCUAUCUUCCCAAGCUGGUCAUUACUGUGGCUCCCAUGGUUUCACAGCUGGGUAAGACUGAAGAUUACACAGCACCUGCCUUCAUUUUAAAAGCUGCGAAGCAGGAAUGAAGCCUCUGGUUCAAUACCAGCUUGACUUCCCCGUGCUCUGUCACUCAAAUAUGUGUUGUGUUCAGCAUGAGGGUCUCAUAUCACAUGUUAGAGGGUAAACAAGACCCAAAGCCAGUAACAUUUGGAGCCCUAUAGGACUGUAAUAGAAGUAACCCAUUCUUGGCAGUGGGCUUUUUUAUUUGCUAGCUUGUGGAGUCUAAUAGAGGUAUUGUCACCUGUAAU